rnacentral:rRNA from 1 species
AAGGAUCAUUACUGUAUGGGCUAUCCCAUCGAGAUGAUACCCUUUGUCUAUAAGUACUUGUUGUUUCCUCGGCAGGCUUGCCUGCCAAUGGGGACCAUUUUCAACCCUUUGCAAUAGCAGUAGCCUCUGAUACUAGUAAUUAUUUACAACUUUCAACAAUGGAUCUCUUGGCUCUGGCAUCGAUGAAGAACGCAGCGAAAUGCGAUAAGUAGUGUGAAUUGCAGAAUUCAGUGAAUCAUCGAAUCUUUGAACGCACAUUGCGCCCCUUGGUAUUCCAUGGGGCAUGCCUGUUCGAGCGUCAUCUACACCCUCAAGCUCUGCUUGGUGUUGGGCGUCUGUCCCGCCUCUGCGCGCGGACUCGCCCCAAAUUCAUUGGCAGCGGUCCUUGCCUCCUCUCGCGCAGCACAUUGCGCUUCUCGAGGUGCGCGGCCCGCGUCCACGAAGCAACAUUACCGUCUUUGACCUCGGAUCAGGUAGGGAUACCCGCUGAACUUAAG